AACGAAUUAGACAUAAAAUACCAAAUUUUGAAAUGUCCAGAGAUCGCACUAGUUUUAUUAAAAAUCAGUGAACUCUAGGGAAUUAAAGUUUAGACUAAAAUAUAGUCGCGUUGUAACUGCGGGUUUAUUUAGUAAACUGUGAAUUGUGCUAAAUGGACAAUCUAAACACAAAUUUAUGCUGAAAUAGCCAGCAUGUAAAAUCUGUGGAAAUUGAGAAUUUUGAACUUCUGCAAUCCAGUUUUCAAUUCAUUACAACAGGCCCUUGUAUCGGAGUCAGGGAUUUUUUUAAGAACAGCUAUUUUAGCCUUAAAUAUCUCAAUUCAUGGUCUAGUAAUAAAGUCUAAACUAUAGUCCUCUAGACCAGGCUUUCCCAAACUCUGGCCCUCCAGAUGUUUC